AUGUAAGGCUGGCUGGUGCCUCAAUUUGAUGAUACUAAUGUAAGUGAUUAAAAUUGAACUGAAAAUUUCUCUUAAAUAUUUCUCCAACAGACCACAACAUAAAUACCGAUUUAGUAAGACGUAUGGGGAAAAAAGGUACAACACUUGGGAAAUGAAGAUCUAUAGUUCCAAAUUUCCAAUACAAUAUCCUACCAUCUUCAAUUUCUAAUCUCUGGCGGUGCUACCUAUUAGCAAAUGCUGAGUCUAAAACGCUAUGCUAUUCUGUCGUUAAUUAUUAGAAUCCACUUGCAACAUUUCAUGUAUGCCCAAAAACUUCCUACUGCAUCCUUUGAAUGCCUGAUUAAUCCAAAAAACUACAUUUCAUAAAAGGAAAAGCUACUGCAAUAAUUUACAAUGAUAAGACUCAAGCAUCAAUAAACCGGAUAUCAAAGGUGUGUGGAUGUAUUUGCCACACAUUUAAGGCUGCAUAUUCCUCUAAACAUUCUUCCAACUGAGCUUCACUGUACCCCUUUCUAGAGAUCCAGUUGAGUGCAUGGGCAUGGCUAACAUCCAGUUUGUUGGUCCUUGCAGCUUCAUCCCUCAAGAUUGAAUAAAUAUCUGAGAUGGCGUCCAUGCCAGAUCUCUGACGAUCAUCAGAAUAUAAAGAGAACUUUGACGUCUGCAAUAAUCUUAGUGCUUCAUCCACAUCACUCUGAGCCACAGUUUCUGAGAACAUUAGUCUUGCUAAAGCAGCUGAUAUGCGGAGAAUGCUAAGAAGAGUUCUAACGGUUGUGUAGGAAUGUGGGGCACUUGAUUUAGCUUCAUCCUGUCGAAUGCUGGAAUAUGCAGUUGCAAUAUACUCCUCUAGCUCCUGGGGGACACAAGGUGACAAUCUCCUAGCUGCUGAAAUAUAUGCUCGAAGAAUAGAUGGUUCAAGUGGAGUGAAAACAAGAGCAGGAGAUUCUUUAUUCCGGUGCACAUAAACAACAUGCCUAGCCAUUUCAAGAUCACUAUCCAUAUCAGGCUGGAUUAGCAGCAGCAAGAACAGCAGUUCUUGCAUUCAGAGAUGUGAUGAUCCCAGCUUUGGCGAUGCUGACAGUCUGCUGCUCCAUGACUUCAUGAAUUGCCGUACGGUCAGAUUCAUCCAUCUUGUCAAACUCAUCAAUAGCACAUAUACCCAUAUCAGCUAGAACCAAAGCUCCCCCUUCUAAGACCAUCUCAUUUGUAACCGGAUCCUUCUGAACAGCAGCAGUAAGACCAACUCCACUGCUUCCUCUGCCAGUAGUAUACACUCCUCUAGGCGCUACAUUUAUUAUGUGCUUCAGAAGCUGACUUUUGGCAACCCCAGGAUCACCCAUCAAACAUAAAUGUAGAUCACCUCUAAUCUUCAUGCCAUCCUUCAGCUUCCGGUGAGGAGCACCCACAAGAAGAAGAAGCAAUGCUUUUUUAAUAUCUUCAUGUCCAUAAAUUUCAGGUGCUAAUGAUCGCGCCAACUUAUUAUAAAUAUCACCAUCCUCAGCCAGACGUGCAAUCUGCUCUUCCUCAUCUCCUCUGAGUUCAUACUCUUCAUAUUUUUUCUUGAAAUGAGUGACAGACAUUGCCUCCAAGUAUGUAUCAGCAACUAAGCCAGCACGAAGUGCUCUGAAACCAGUGUAAGGAAUUGGGAGAAAGAUCCCUGAUAAUUCAACGACAUCACCUGGAGCUACCUUUCUUGUGAGUUCUCCUCUAAAAUGAACAGUCAUUGACCGUGGAAUAUGACCUUUGGGAACAUGCUCUGCCAACUCUUGAAUCUUGGCCUCCUGAAACUUAAGAAAUUUUGAUGCUCUGAGUUGAAGAAUAAGGUUUCCAUUUGUUUUAUUUGUUUUACAGCGUCUACUUGGACACUCAAACAAUGGCAUGAACACUCGAGCAGUUACUUCCUGGUAAAUUUCAAAACCACAGUCUUCACAUGUAUACACAGCUACCUGCAUUAAUGGCUUAACAUCAGAGCAUCGGGUCACAAUACCAGAUAUCCUUACAAGCUGGCCAAUAUAUGAAGCCUUAACCUCUCUGAUAGUAAAUGGUCGUCCCUUUGAAGGUGCUCUGAUAUAAACUUCAUAGUAACGCUUGAUCUCAGCAGGCAUCUUCUGCUGCGGAUCAGAACCAUCAGUAUUCUCAGUCGCAUCCUCAGUUCUUUGAGUCAUUAAUAUGUCGUGGUCAUCAUCUGGAAAAGGCUCAGUGGGCUCCGGCAUGACGUCAUCAAUUGCAGAUGCAAAAAUUCCAAUAUAUCGACGGGUAUUCUCUGUCACCCUUCUAAAGAACUCUUCAUCCAAGUCCUUAUAAUUAAGAAGGUCUUCGAAAUCGAUCUUGACUGCACGACUCUUAUGAUUUGCAAGAUCUUGCUGAAGAGAAAAGAACAAUUAGGACUGAUUCGCAAUUAUUAAGAAAUUGAAGUAAGAAUGGGCUUUUUCCAGCGUAUUAAAAUUUGGAUACUAAAAUGGGAAAAUUUUAAGGAAAAAAUUUGAGGCAACUUACAAGAAUGUUCAUGUAUUUGGCUUCGCCAUUUGCAUCAGCGAAGUUGGAGAUAAAAUCCUUUGCCAGAACUCGUAAAGAAAAGAAAGCAAAAUUAGGCAUAUCAGAGAUAGUGAGAGAGAAAAAUGAAAGAAAAAGGAGAUCUUACCUUUGUCUGCGUUGAAGUCGAAGUCCUUGGAAGGAGGCUUUUGGCGGGAAAGACGGUACGGUGAAAGAAAU
rnacentral:misc_RNA from 1 species